UUUUGUAUGUUUAUGUCUGAUUUUGUUAGCAAAUAGUUUUUAAAUAAGAUGAAACUUGUGGGUAUGCAAGACAAGUCUGACUCCUGAAAGAGGUACAGUCGUCUGGAAAGGUUGAGAGCCACUGGACCAGAGAACAAAUUUUUAAUUCUCACAGUCCAUUCCCUGAGGUGCUCUUGGGGCAGGACAGCCCCUUACUCAUGGCAAAAUGUAAUGUCACAAUCUAGCACAAAAUGUCAAACUAAAGUGAAUGGGUCCGCAUAUUCAUUCAUGGUGGAUUUUUUUCUUCUUCUUUUUGAACACUGGGCCACACUCAGAAUCCCUAAAACCACACACCGAAGAAAGGGCUUUUUCUUUUCCAAACUCAAGUUCAUGGGGGGAAAAAGUGAGAAAAAACAAAUAGCACUGAAGCAAACAAUAUGUUCUUUAGUAUUUCUCUGCUUUUCCUCCAAAGUCUCUCGUGAGUUUCCUGUUUCCUCAAGCUCUUCCUAUUGAGCUUCCAGACACGACUCAUGAUGAACAAGAGUAAAAACCCAUGAAAAUGUUGCCUCUAAGAGAAUUUUCUUCUUUGAUGCAAUUUACCUCACCAACUGUGACAAGAUUUUGCUUUUGCUCAGCAUAGAGUAGUUUGAAACCUGAUUUGCAAAGUGUCAAUCUUCCCAAAAAAGAGUGAUUUUGCCCUGCCCCUCAAUUUUGAGAAAGCAAAAGCCACCGUUCUGAUAGACUGUAUCAUUUGUGCACUAUGCUACAGCUCAUGUUAAAGUUACAUGGAUGGCACUUUCCCUCCCCAUUUCUCUACCCACCACCAUAGAAACUUGACAUCUCCUUUAUCAAAUUCAAUGUAUCAACUGAACGGCAAUGAUAGAGCCACCAUACAUCAUUUAUAUAGUGCUGUAAUGAGGUCUAGCACUGUAAUUUGCUAAAAUGUGCCUGAAGAGGGCAGUGUCCUUAAAACAGAUUUAUUAUAUGGAAAAUAAUCUGACUCACAAUAUUCAAAACUCCUCUUAAAAUACCUGUUAACAGCCAAUGACUGUCAAAAUACAGUUUGUGUAAAAGGCACACAAAAAUCAAGCCAAACAGCAAAUGAAACCAAAUAUUUAUUGAAACCAGAAAAACAAAACAUUGAUUUUCACAUACUCUUAAAAUUAUUAAAACAAACACAGCCACACAAACAACACCCCUGUUCCCAUAUUUUAGGUUAAGAAAAUAUGUAAAGGUGCCCUUUAAGGGUAUUUGGAAAAAAGAUAAGUAUAUUAUUUGUGUACAUAACAAUACACGUCACAUACUAAACACCCUUCUUGUCAUUCCAAAAUAGGAAUAAUACAUUUUCAUUUGAAAUGUAAUCUACAUAUGUGCAUUAAACACUCACAGAUUCAUCCUUCGUGCAUUAAUCUGUAACCUGUCUUUUAGUUACAUCUCAGAAUUGCCCUUAAUUGUUACAGCUUAAGAAAUUAAGAUAACUUUCACAACACAGCAAGCUCAGUCCAUUGCUUUAAGAAUCUUCCCCAAAGGCCACUGAAGACUCUCCUUCACUUCAGUGGUGUUUUGAUUGGGGCCUUAAAGCAAAUGGUCUAUUGCAGCUGACAGAAGGAAAACAGAAAUAAAUUCAUUAGUAUUCGGCACAGUUAUACUGGCACGGUACAUGGAACUACAGCUUGCAGUAUCCUGGAAUUCAACUUGUAGUGUUGCAGAUAUCAAAUUAAAAAGCAGCUUUUAAUAGAGUGGCCCAUUGUAGAAAGCGAGUCUUAGAAAAAGUUCCUCCUCCAAUUGCUCAACUUAUUUUUAAAAAGAAAAAUCUCAAGGCAAGUUGGAAUAACAGUGGCACAGGAUGACCUGGAAAAUGUGUGUUAUAUUUAAAACAGACACCAUGAUUCUGAUUCUCCACUACCUAGCACCUUGUGUAGUUAUUUACACCUGUGCAACAUGGGUGCAAAAUGCUACUAUUCUGAUUUGAAACCAUGUGGUGUCCACAUUCCCCAGGUGUAAAUAACUACACAGGGUACAUGGCAGUGGAGAAACAGGUCCAAUGUAUACAGAAUUCUAUAAAGCCUGCAUUAUGCUACCAAAAAAAUUUUUGUAAUAAUUAUUUCACUGCUUAGUAUCAAAGAUAAAAUUACUUACCCAUAAAUUAUGCUUUCUGAAGACAGUACCCUCUGCUCUCUAUAUGUAGCAUUCAAAGCAUGUAUUGGAGUGCUCUGAAAGCUUAACUUUGUUCUCUUUGCAUUCCCUCACAACCAUCUCCCCCUUCCCAGUUGUCACCAUUUGGUGAUGUGUGUAUAGUUUAGGUGACUAACUAGACUGUCACAAACCCCAAUUGUCAGCUCUUUUGGCUGAAACCUACCCAUAACUUAUUUCUAUGUCUCCAAACAAACAAAAAACUGUAUGACAGGAACUUAAGAAAAGAUGUAGGUGGAUGAGAGUAGAUUUAUGGACGACACCAAUUUGGAGAACAAGUAUAGAUGAGGAACAAUCACUUCUCCAAAGCUAUGUGUUGCUGUAUCCCUUCUUCAAUGAGGAAGAAGGUGGAAAGGAAAGGAAAGGAAAGGAAAGGAAAGAGAAAUGACAAAGAUAAAUAUCAGGGGAUGCUCAAAAGGAGAGGGAAAAUUAUAUAGCUAAUUUUGGAAAGCGAUCCUGUGAUACUGUCAUACUAAACGCUGACACUUUGAUACAGUUGGACACUUUGGUACAAGUCUUUACUGCCUAUAUACUGCCAGAAUGUAACGGGUUCUAUACAGAUACUUAAGAGACCUCAUGUAGUUGGACCAGCAUGAGGCUGCCGUGUUCCUAGUUUUAUAAGGUAGAAUUUUCACUUGUGGCCUAACUCUGCUUCCACGGAAGUGGGAGUUUUACCAAUGUCUUCAAGGGGUACAGAGUUAGGCCAGCACUGAUGCGGAGUGCUUUUUGAAAGCCACACAUGUAGUAAUUACAUAAAAACCUCUCUCAACAGCACUAGACAUAUAAAAAUAAUGACUGUAAUUCUGAUGCACCUCCUCAUGGUUUUCUUUCCACACAAACAAGCCUUUUAAAUGAAUUGAAAUGAAUGCUAGCCAGCUUCAAGGUCUUGUGAAAAACAAUGGAUCAAUUUGCGUACAAAUUUUCAAGCAAGGGCCUAAAAAAUGAUGGCAGUGUGGAGGUGAGAAAAAUAGUGAAAACAUGAUUAACAGAGCAAGAGCCUCAAUAUCACCUUCUAAAGACAUUUGGAAUUACUCAACAUCAUCAUGUUCUUACAAAAUGUAGUAUGAUGUGGCCUCACUAGAGCUUAGGCCUGACUAAUCCAACAAGCUUAAUUUGAGACCAUCGGGGAUAAAAAAAAUUAUGGCACUCAUUAGAACCAAGCAGCUAAAAAAAAAAAAAAAAAAAAAAAAAAAAAGAGAGAGAGA